rnacentral:lncRNA from 1 species
AUAAGAUUUGGCAUCAUUUUACAAAUAAAACACAGCUAAACCAAAGGUCGUGGGUUCGAUUCCCACCUCGGUGAAGUAAACUUUUCAGCUCUCCUGGUGUGGACACACUCAGUGCAACAUCACAAACACAUAUUGUUCCAAUUUAUUUCUAUUUGAUUUUUAGAGUCACACCAGUAAAGCUAUUUUCCUUAUGGAUGUUAUUCCGACUAAUGAACCCCAUAGUGAUUGUAUUUUCUUGCUUUACUUCAACAGGAUAAAAAACAUCGCUUAAAAUGCAGAAAAUCGGUUUUUGGAGACCAUAGAAUAAAACAAUUCUGGUGGUUUAUGCUUCAUAGCCUCCCUAUAUAAGCCCCUCUUUUAAAAAUUUUACGACUGCACCGUUUGAAUUGGCGGGUUUCGGGCAUUAUUCGAUACCCGUAUUAAAAGCGGCUUUCUGAUUGAUUACGAGCAUGUUAACUUUUUUCGAAUUCAUCCGCCUUUCGCCAAACUCACUCGCGGUAAAGCUGCUUACGCUGACUUCAGCAACGUGAAAUAAAAUUAGCUUUCACAAAGAAAUUAAGAAACCACA